UACGAAGGGGGGCUAGCGUUGCUCGGAAUCACUGGGCGUAAAGGGUGCGUAGGCGGGUUUCUAAGUCAGAGGUGAAAUCCUGGAGCUCAACUCCAGAACUGCCUUUGAUACUGAAGAUCUUGAGUUCGGGAGAGGUGAGUGGAACUGCGAGUGUAGAGGUGAAAUUCGUAGAUAUUCGCAAGAACACCAGUGGCGAAGGCGGCUCACUGGCCCGAUACUGACGCUGAGGCACGAAAGCGUGGGGAGCAAACAGG
rnacentral:rRNA from 1 species